rnacentral:rRNA from 1 species
GACGAACGCUGGCGGCGUGCUUAACACAUGCAAGUCGAACGGAAAGGCCCUGCUUGCAGGGUACUCGAGUGGCGAACGGGUGAGUAACACGUGGGUGAUCUGCCCUGCACUUCGGGAUAAGCCUGGGAAACUGGGUCUAAUACCGGAUAGGAGCCAUUUUUAGUGUGAUGGUUGGAAAGUUUUUUCGGUGUAGGAUGAGCUCGCGGCCUAUCAGCUUGUUGGUGGGGUAAUGGCCUACCAAGGCGGCGACGGGUAGCCGGCCUGAGAGGGUGGACGGCCACAUUGGGACUGAGGUACGGCCCAGACACCGACGGGACGGAGCAGGGGGGAAGAUUGCACAAUGGGCGCAAGGCUGGUGAAGAGAGGCCGCGGGGGGGAUGACGGCCUUCGGGUUGUAAACUCCUUUCGCAAGGGACGAAGCUUGUUGUGACGGUACCUAGACAGGAAGCACCGGCUAACUACGUG